rnacentral:rRNA from 1 species
UGCCUACGGGGGGCAGCAGUCGGGAAUAUUGCGCAAUGGAGGAAACUCUGACGCAGUGACGCCGCGUGCAGGAAGAAGGUUUUCGGAUUGUAAACUGCUUUAGACAGGGAAGAAAAAAGACAGUACCUGUAGAAUAAGCUCCGGCUAACUACGUGCCAGCAGCCGCGGUAAUACGUAGGGAGCAAGCGUUAUCCGGAUUUAUUGGGUGUAAAGGGAGCGUAGACGGCUGCGCAAGUCAGAAGUGAAAGCCCGGGGCUCAACCGCGGGACUGCUUUUGAAAC